GAGGGAAGGCGCACAGCGGUUAUCCCCGAGACGCUAAAAAGAGAAAAGUUGAUGACGAAUGGCGUGUUUUAAAAAAUACAUGGACUGCCAAGUAAAGACUCGACAUCCCAAUCCCGCCGAGGCGUGGACAGACGUAGUUCCACACCCCGAUGCUCCCUCGUCGGAUCUUCUGACCCACUGCCAGCUCCAGGAAGAAGAGCGGGAUGCCGAUGAUAAGGAGGAGGAUGAAGUAGGGGAAGCGCCACACGUUCCCCAGGCCCACUGAGAAGCCCACCUGUGCCAGGAUGUACUGCAGCUUGCUGUUCCACGCCGGCCGGCCAUCAUUUUCCGGCGCCUCGAUCUGGGGUGCUUUCUUUCCGCUGGACGCCGCCCCGCUGGCAGCGCCACCGACCUUCAGCGAGCUGCUCUUGUAAUCGAGGGGCUCCUCGUAGGCCAGCAGGUCAGCCACCGACUCUGUGACGUGCUCAUUGCUUUGCUGCCGCUGCGUCACUUUGCUGUUUUUAGGCAUCGGGGGGGUCGGGAAGGGGAGACUGGUGGGAGAUGAAAGUGGAAGCGCCUUUAGAGGAGAUGCUGGGAUGGAUGCUCUUGUUGUUGUGGGCCUCAGUCCUGCAUUGGAAGCCCAGGAAAGAUCAAAUCAAGCACAUAAAUAAGCUUGUUGUGAGGAACUCGCAUGGCUGCAGUUUGUGUGUCCCCAAGAUGCAAGAACCAGGAGGAGGAUGUGCAGGUGAUCGUCUGGGGACAGUUCCCAAAGCAACAGUGGGGUCAUAUGACACUCACAGAAAUAAUAGAGCACUAUACGUGACGUAGUGAGUGUAGUUAAGGUUUGGCAAGUCCUGCCACAUGUUUAAGGGCACAGGUGAGCAGGAGCCUAUCCCAGUCGGCUUUUGGGGGUGAGAGGCAGAGUACACCCUGGAGUAGUCGCCAGUCAGUCACACACUAUAUCGACUAACAAGCAUUCACAUUCCCACAGCACUGCAAUCUAUUUGUGGCAGUGCCUCCUGGUCAAAAUUGGCUAUUUAUGGACAUUGUGGGGGAGACAAAAAGUGAGCAAAAAACAUAAUUUCUCUCUCUCGAUGAUGGUGUGGUUGAUGGAGAAGCAGCUGGAAGGAGAUACUGCCACAAUCAAAGUUAAAUGCUGCACAUUAUUAUUACAUUAUUUAAUAAAAACAUUGUUGUUGUCUUUAAAAAGCAUGUUAAAUGUUAGAUUUGUGCUGUUUUGGGGGGAACUGGCAACAAUUAAAUUGAUUUCGCCUCUGAAAAG